rnacentral:pre_miRNA from 7 species
CUUUAAUCCCAGCACUUGGGAGGCAGAGGCUGAAAGACCCCGGAAGGGAGACCCUCACUCAAGUCUCGGGAUAAUAGCGGACCCCCAAGAACUCACGAGAGACC